rnacentral:lncRNA from 1 species
CGUCACGCAUAAGAGUUCUUUUCCUGUAGAAAAACCACGCGAUUCCCUGAUUAGUGCUGGUGGGGUGUUAAAAUCCCAAGGCAUGCGCAAAGAAGAACGUGUGUGUUUCUACUGUCACAAAGCUGGACAUGUCAUCGCUGAUUGCCUCGCCCUAAAGCGCAAGGAGCAGAUGUCCAAAAGUGUGCCGCAGUCAAAAGGUGUCGGCUUGAUUAAUUCUGAAAUUAACCCUUUGGACAUUGACAGUCAUAGUGACAAGCCUGAUUCAUGUUUCGAACCCUUUAUUUUCGAAGGGACUGUGUCGUUGCCAGGUGAACCUGCUGAUCAGCGCCCGGUGCCCAUUCUGCGAGACACUGCCUGCUCACAGUCGGUGAUUCUCGCAAGUGUGCUGCCAUUUUCUGUAAAGUCUGCCUGCGGUUAUGGUGUGGUGCUGCAUGGAAUCGAGCUGGGUUAUGUUCCUCGACCAGUGCAUUACGUGCAUGUCGAGUCCGAGUUGGUGUCUGGAGUGUUCCCGGUGGCUGUCUGCCCUGCCCUCCUGAUUAAAGGCGUUGCAUUUCUGUUGGGAAAUGACAUCGCUGGGGGCAAGGUGACUCCCACCUUAGAGAUGCUGGUUGUGCCCAAGUACCGCGAGUCCAGUACCAUUGACCAACCAGAUGCCGAGUUGUCCCCGGCCUGUGUGAGCACCAGAGCUCAGGCAAAGAAAGACAAAGAAGACGACAUUGUGCCCCUGUUUAACACUUUUCUCAUGUCAGAAUUUACAGAUUCGGUCAAGAAUGAGAAGAAGCCAGACUCCCCCAUCAAGUUGGAGGAUGAGACUGCUGCCGUCAUCCCGACGCGCUCCGUUAGCACAGGACCUUUUUCCCCGGGCGCUUAUGUACCGAUGGUGGCAGACUCCCGAUGUCCUCUAGAGGACUUAGUUGUGCGCCAUUCUGCUUUUCAGGGCGCUCGCCUCCCAAAUUCUGAAACCCUGCAGAAGUUUCCCUCGGCACUAAAUCACCUGUCACCUGACCAGCAGCGUGACGUCGGUGGCCUCAUAGACAGUUUCCCGUUUUUGUUCAGCGUCGGGCCCGCUCAAUGUCAUGCUCUAAAAUCUGAUGUUAACCACCCGCUCCUGCUCUACCAGUGCACUCCAGCAUUUCUGAGGUGUGGGUUGGAGCAAAUCCCUGGCCGGUUGCCGUGUUCGCCAACCACGACCUGCUCAGGUCCCGUGCUCGCAUGUAUAACGAACGGCUGAUGCGCCGGGCCCUGAUUGUGUAGGGUCAACCUGGUAAUACGACACAAGAGGUAAAAACAUCUUAGUGUAUGCCCGGUCCAGACUUUGAAAAUGUGUACACCUCUGCUGUGAUUUGUGCAUUUGUUUUGUAUAACAACCAGGGGUUGUUCUUUUAAGG